rnacentral:rRNA from 1 species
GAUGAACGCUGGCGGCGUGCCUAAUACAUGCAAGUCGAGCGAACGGACGAGAAGCUUGCUCCUCUGAUGUUAGCGGCGGACGGGUGAGUAACACGUGGAUAACCUACCUAUAAGACUGGGAUAAUUUCGGGAAACCGGAGCUAAUACCGGAUAAUAUUUUGAACUGCAUGGUUCAAACGUGAAAGACGGUCUUGCUGUCACUUAUAGAUGGAUCCGCGCUGCAUUAGUUAGUUGGUAAGGUAACGGCUUACCAAGGCAACGAGGCAUAGCCGACCUGAGCGGGUGAGCGGCCACACUGGAUCUGAGACACGGUCCAGACUCCGACGGGGGGCAGCAGUAGAGAAUCUUCCGCAAUGGGCGAGAGCCUGACGUAGCAACACCGCGGGAGUGAUGAAGGUCUUCUGAUCGUAGAGCGCUGUUAUUAGGGAAGAACAUAUGUGUAAGUAACUGUGCACAUCAUGACGGUACCUAAUCAGAAAGCCACGGCUAACUACGUG